rnacentral:rRNA from 1 species
AUCAUUACCGAGUGCGGGCUGCCUCCGGGCGCCCAACCUCCCACCCGUGACCACCUAACACUGUUGCUUCGGCGGGGAGCCCUCUCGGGGGCGAGCCGCCGGGGACUACUGAACUUCAUGCCUGGGAGUGAUGCAGUCUGAGUCUGAAUAUAAAAUCAGUCAAAACUUUCAACAAUGGAUCUCUUGGUUCCGGCAUCGAUGAAGAACGCAGCGAACUGCGAUAAGUAAUGUGAAUUGCAGAAUUCAGUGAAUCAUCGAGUCUUUGAACGCACAUUGCGCCCCCUGGCAUUCCGGGGGGCAUGCCUGUCCGAGCGUCAUUGCUGCCCAUCAAGCCCGGCUUGUGUGUUGGGUCGUCGUCCCCCCCGGGGGACGGGCCCGAAAGGCAGCGGCGGCACCGUGUCCGGUCCUCGAGCGUAUGGGGCUUUGUCACCCGCUCGAUUAGGGCCGGCCGGGCGCCAGCCGACGUCUCCAACCAUUUUCUUCUGGUUGACCUCGGAUCAGGUAGGGAUACCCGCUGAACUUAAGCAUAUCAAUAAGCGGAGGA